rnacentral:lncRNA from 1 species
AUGGGGCAUAGGAGCACCCCACUGCCCCCACUGCCCCCCGGGACCCACAGUGCACAGCACACCCCUGCCCUGCUUCUGUGCCCCCCAGGUGCGCACUGCGGACAUGGGGGGCUACGCCACCUCCCACGAUUUCACCCAAGCUGUGAUCGAGGCCCUGGAGGUGUAGGGGCCCCCCCCCCCGUGCCCACGGCCUCUGUUAUUUAUGGCUUCCCCCCAAUAAAUGUGGGCUCUGCAGCACCGGGGUGGCCCCGUCCUCGCCCGCGGACACCGGGGCUCCGGGGGGGGCAGCACCGUCACCCCCGGCCCCACACCACCACCACAAAGAGCAUCAACAGCCACGGCAGUGCUUUACUGAGCCCCUGCCCUCCACGGGCCCCACACAGCCCCAGGACACCCCCAAACGGGGCCAUGGGCCCGGAGGGGUCAAUGCCACACACGGGGCAGGGACGCGGGAGCCGCAGCCCCGCACCAACCUCCAGGCGGUCCACGAGUCCAAGCAUUGGGCCCAGUGCCCUCAGUCCUCCUCGUCCCGAGCCACCUUCUUCUUCUUCUUCCUCUUCCUCUUCUCCUCCUCCUCAGGCUCAGCCUCGGCCGUCGCUUUCCUCUUCUUCUUGGGCACGGCCUCGGCCUCCUCCUCCUCCUGCAGCCCGUUCUGUUCCGGCUCCGAUUCAAUCCCCUCCUCCUCCUGCUGCUGCUUCUUCUUCCUCUUCUUCCGGGGCUCCGCGGCGCCCUCCUGCGGGAGCCACAGGGUCAGGAGGAGCCGGAGCCGGCGCGGUGCCCAUCCCCACCAUCCCCAUCCCCCACCAUCCCCAUCCCCACCAUCCCCAUCCCCAUCCCCAUCCCCACCAUCCCCAUCCCCGACCCCCUCCCGCCCUCACCUCGGGCUCUGGCACUGAGUUCUCCUCCUGCUCCUCCUGCGCCGCCACCGCUGCCAGCGCCUCCAAACGCCGCUUCUCCCUCUUCUUCCUCUUCUUUUCCUUCUUCUCCUGCUUCCUCUUCACCUCCGCCACCACCUCACCCGCCUGGGGGGGGGGGGGGGUGAGAGGAGGGUUCAGCCCCAGCC